GUCUUCAUAGCUCAGUGGUUUAGAGCGUGCGAUUGCAAAUCGCGAGGUCCCGUGUUCGAUCCACGGUGAGGACU
rnacentral:tRNA from 1 species